rnacentral:rRNA from 1 species
CCUACGGGUGGCAGCAGUGAGGAAUAUUGGUCAAUGGGCGAGAGCCUGAACCAGCCAAGUCGCGUGAAGGAUGACGGCCCUACGGGUUGUAAACUUCUUUUGUCAGGGAGCAAUUGGGUCCACGCGUGGGCUUAGCGAGAGUACCUGAAGAAAAAGCAUCGGCUAACUCCGUGCCAGCAGCCGCGGUAAUACGGAGGAUGCGAGCGUUAUCCGGAUUUAUUGGGUGUAAAGGGAGCGUAGACGGCAAGGCAAGCCAGAAGUGAAAGGGCAGGGCUCAACCCUGUACAUGCUUUUGGAACUGUGGUGCUAGAGUGCAGGAGAGGUAAGUGGAAUUCCUAGUGUAGCGGUGAAAUGCGUAGAUAUUAGGAGGAACACCAGUGGCGAAGGCGGCUUACUGGACUGUAACUGACGUUGAGGCUCGAAAGCGUGGGGAGCAAACAGGAUUAGAUACCCUAGUAGUC